GUCGGUAUCGAUUAGGGGUCAAAUCACCUCGUUGUGGCGUAAAAUUGUGGACCGAGGAGCCGCAGGUUCGAAUCCUGCUACCGACA
rfam:Schizophyllum commune H4-8 unplaced genomic scaffold SCHCOscaffold_5, whole genome shotgun sequence.